rnacentral:rRNA from 1 species
GGAUUAGAUACCCGGGUAGUCCACGCCGUAAACGAUGCUAACUCGUUUUUGGGCUUUAGGGUUCAGAGACUAAGCGAAAGUGAUAAGUUAGCCACCUGGGGAGUACGUUCGCAAGAAUGAAACUCAAAGGAAUUGACGGGGGCCCGCACAAGCGGUGGAUUAUGUGGUUUAAUUCGAUGAUACGCGAGGAACCUUACCAAGGCUUAAAUGGGAAUUGACAGGUUUAGAAAUAGACUUUUCUUCGGACAAUUUUCAAGGUGCUGCAUGGUUGUCGUCAGCUCGUGCCGUGAGGUGUUAGGUUAAGUCCUGCAACGAGCGCAACCCCCUGUCACUAGUUGCCAUCAUUCAGUUGGGGACUCUAGUGAGACUGCCUACGCAAGUAGAGAGGAAGGUG